GGAAAAAAUGGCCAAUUAGUUUGCAUUCAGUAAUGGAAUAAGAUUGAAAGAAACAUUUUUAUGUUUCUAACUGUACUUAUCAUCUUUGUCCACUAGGUAUCACUACAUCCACAGAAAAUGACAUUGAAGGGGAGGCCGAAAACCAGCCAACAGAAAGUAAAGGGUUCUACCUUUAAGUCAGUGUUAGUCUACAAGGAAAAACAGAAAAGUCAGAACCUCUGGGUUUAAUCAGGAAAAUAAGCACAUACUUGGAGAGCUGAAGCUGAAAGAACAGCAUCUAAGAUCUUCAUUAAACAUGGAGCCCCUAAACAUCAACAGAACAUUUUAAAUUUAUACUGCCAGCUUAAGGCUUAUAAAAUGUGUCUCCUUCAUAAAAAGUGAGCAUCUCUCUCCAAAUUAAAAGACAGAGCAUAAAGCAAUGGUUUACAAGCAGCUUCAACAGCAGUGACUUUAAGUUGUCUCCAGUGCAGCACCAGUAAUAAUGUUGUCAAAAGUGAUGCUGGGUGUCAUCCUGUCCCUCCUCAUUCUUCUGACUGUGGGUGGUAAUGUGGUGGUGUGUCUAGCUGUCUGUGCCUCACGACGCCUCCGCUGCCUCACAAACUGCUUCAUUGUGUCGCUAGCUGUAACCGACCUCCUGCUCGGCCUCUUGGUCCUCCCGUUCUCUGCCCUCCUCCAGCUCACUGACGAGUGGCCAUUCGGCCCAGCUUUCUGCAACUUCUACAUCUCCAUGGAUGUCAUGCUGUGCACAGCCUCUAUAUUAACGCUACUGGCCAUAAGUGUGGACCGCUACCUGGCAGUGACCAUGCCUCUGAGAUACGCCUCUCUGGUGUUGCCAUGGAGAGUUGCUGUAGGCCUGGUGAGUGUCUGGACAGUGUCAGUGGCUGUGUCUUUCUUGCCAAUUCAAAUGGGAUGGAACACUGUUAAUGGGACAGUACAGAAUCAUGGGCCCAGGGCUUCUAAGAGAAAAUGUCGCUUUGAGCUGAACAGGCCUUAUGUACUCACAGACUCUCUUCUUACCUUCUACCUGCCUCUGUUGGCUAUGUGCUGGAUCUACCUUCAGAUACUUUGCAUAGCUCAGGCUCAGGCCAAGCGUAUUAUCAGCACCCGACCUAUAUGCACCACAAGCAAUAGCUGCAGGAACAACCCCACCACAGGUACAGCUAUGGUUUCUGGUGUUACAGCUGUAGCACUGAGAGACCACAAAGCCACACUGACAUUAGCAGCUGUGAUUGGGGCUUUUGUUGUCUGUUGGUUGCCUUAUUUCAUACUAUUCACAGUGCUGGGUCUAAAGGAGCAUCCAGACCCUGGCAUAGUACCAGAAUUUCCUAUUGUUUUGUGGUUGGGGUACGCCAACUCAGCCCUUAACCCCGUCAUCUAUGGAGCCCUCAACAGGGACUUCAGGUCAGCUUAUGCCCAUCUACUGAGAUGUCGGUUCCCUACUUACAGUGGCUGGAGAAAUCAGCAGUCCUCUCCCACUUUUACAACAGCAAGAAAGCAGCUCACAGAGGUGACACUGCUGUGUGGUCACACCUCUGUCACCUGCACGGCAGCAGUAACAGCUCAGAACAUCAUGCUUCAAGACACGAGCAGCAGUGAAACUGCUCCAACCACUCACUCUACAAAUGGCACAGCUACCAAAGAAUUGGCUGUGUUGAGCCUGUACUCAUUAUACACCCCUGAUCUGGCGUUAGUCAGCCCGAGGAAAAAAAAACAACAGACAGAUGAAGAUGAAUGAAGAUGAACUGACAACUCCCCACAUAUUCAGUGCCACAGCAGAACCAACCAUAAUGCCACAUUAUUCAACACAGCUAAUCUUAAAACAAGAAAGGCGAACCGAAGGCAUCAAUAACUCCAGACCUCAUCAGUAAGAAUCAAUGUGCCCUCGCAGCAGGAUGCCAAAUGAAAAGUACUGAAGUUCUGCAGGAAUAAAUGACACCAGGAAAUUAGCUUGUGGAUCACCACUUUAUUAACUAGUGGAUAUUUUUCAUCCUGACUCCAGAGUGCACUCCAGUGGAAACUUGAAGUACAGCAUCUCCAGCUUGUAGAGAGCUUUCUGGAAAGAGACAUUUACCAGCAAAUGCAUGUUCUAUAAAAAUCAGUUUAUAAGAGAGGAAAUGCAAUGAAAAGACUUUCAGUAAAUAGUCCCAUGAGUUGAAUGUGUAGCAAGUAAUGUAGUGAUAUGUGUUCAUUUUGAAAACUACAACCCACCCCUGACAUUCUUGUUUAUACAUUUGUGAAAUGUUGACAACUGUAUGUAUUAAAUUGCAAUAUAAACACUA